UACGUAGGGUGCGAGCGUUGUCCGGAAUUAUUGGGCGUAAAGAGCUCGUAGGCGGCCUGUCGCGUCGGAUGUGAAAGCCCGGGGCUUAACCCCGGGUCUGCAUUCGAUACGGGCAGGCUAGAGUGUGGUAGGGGAGAUCGGAAUUCCUGGUGUAGCGGUGAAAUGCGCAGAUAUCGGGAGGAACACCGGUGGCGAAGGCGGUUCUCUGGGCCAACACUGACGCUCAUGCACGAAAGCGUGGGGAGCAAACAGG
rnacentral:rRNA from 1 species